CAUGUUGACUGCUUAACAGGUCUUAUAUCUUUAUCUGAAUUUCUUUAUGGUGUCUUAAACCAAGCUGUUUGUGAGUUCAGAUCUGUGUGUGUUGUCAGCAUGAAUGAUAACUGAGGUUUCAAAGUAAGAACAUGAUUAUGACAUCAUGGAACUUGUUCUUGACCUCAGGUGGUGUGAAAUAAUGGAAGUUCAUCCAGUUCAUCCAGUAAAUAUUUACUGAGCCCUUACUCUGUGUCAGACACAGUUCUAUGUGCCAGUGAUGUAGAGUGAAUACAGUAGGAAAACAUUCCUGUUCUCAUGCAGCUGACAUUGUAGUAGAGGGAGACAGGACAAAAGUAAAUACAUACAAUGUACGGAAAGAAGGCUAUGAAAAAAGUUAAGGGAGAUGCAGGUGUGAAAGGAAACACGAAAGAUCUUUCUUCCUCAUCCCAAGAAGCAGCACCUACCACCAUUCUCAACAAGAAAUAUCUAUGUUAUGGUCACCGACAAGAGUUUACCACCUCGCAACGUCGUGUUGUUACUGAAUUGUUUAUUGUCAGUCUCCCCAGUGUGCACGUUGGCUCCAAGACUGAGACUUCCUCUCUCUUUUCGUCUCUCUAUCUUGGGAAUCUAGAAGGGUGCCUAGCACAUUUGUUGAAUGAAUGAAUAAAGGAAUGAGUUUUUCAAAUGUCGAUUAUGUAAUAUCUCAUUUUUCUCCUCUUUUGAAUAAGGGAAAUAACAUCUCUCUUACAAGAAUAUUGUGAAGAUUAGGUGAUAAAAGAUAGGAAUAUUCCCAACCUCAUUAUUAGAAAAAUAUUGGUUCCAUUUUCUCUCCUCUAAAGAGUGGUUCUCCA
rnacentral:lncRNA from 1 species